CACGCCCUAAAAUUUCCCUGCUAGAUGUUGGUUGGAUGUGUUUUUUCCACUUCGGUGGAAAUGUACAUUUGAUCAGUGUCGCAGCUAACGCGUUAAGCAGGGCGCCUGGGGAGUACGGCCGCAAGGCUAAAACCCAAAGGAAUUGACGGGGACCCGCACAAGUAGUGGAGCGCCUGGUUUAAUUCGAUGCUAAACGAAGGACCUCACCAAGGCUUGAACUGUAGCUGCAAGCUGUAUGAAAAUACGGCCGCCUUCGAGGGUGCUAUAGAGGUGC
rnacentral:rRNA from 1 species